rnacentral:rRNA from 1 species
GACCGCUGGCGCCAAGCCAGAGGAAGGAGAGGUCAACGGUAGGUCCGUAUGACCCGAAUCCCUAGGGCAACACGCGCGCUACAAAGGACGGGACAAUGGGCUUCGACGUCGAAAGGCGAAGGUAAUCCCGAAACCCGUUCGUAGUCCGGAUUGAGGGCUGCAACUCGCCCUCAUGAAGCUGGAUUCCGUAGUAAUCGCGGGUCAACAUCCCGCGGUGAAUAUGCCCCUGCUCUUUGCACACACCGCCCAUCGCGUCAACCGAGUUGGGUUCCCGUGAGGGCGCCGUUCUUGCGGCGUUCGAACGGGGGUUCAGCGAGGGGGACGAAGUUGUAACAAGGUAUCUGUAGGGGNNAGGUAUCUGUAGGGGAACCUGCAGAUGGAUCACCUCCU